rnacentral:rRNA from 1 species
UACGUAGGUGGCAAGCGUUGUCCGGAAUUAUUGGGCGUAAAGCGCGCGCAGGCGGCCUCCUAAGUCCGAUGUGAAAGCCCACGGCUCAACCGUGGAGGGUCAUUGGAAACUGGGGGACUUGAGUGCAGGAGAGAAGAGUGGAAUUCCACGUGUAGUGGUGAAAUGCGUAGAGAUGUGGAGGAACACCGAUGGCGAAGGCAGGUCUCUGGGCUGAAACUGACGCUCAUGCACGAAAGCGUGGGGAGCAAACCGG